UACGUAGGGUGCAAGCGUUUAAUCGGAAUUACUGGGCGUAAAGCGUGCGCAGGCGGCUUUGCAAGACAGAUGUGAAAUCCCCGGGCUCAACCUGGGAAUUGCAUUUGUGACUGCACGGCUAGAGUGUGUCAGAGGGGGGUAGAAUUCCACGUGUAGCAGUGAAAUGCGUAGAGAUGUGGAGGAAUACCGAUGGCGAAGGCAGCCCCCCUGGGAUAACACUGACGCUCAUGCACGAAAGCGUGGGGAGCAAACAGG
rnacentral:rRNA from 1 species